rnacentral:rRNA from 1 species
GACGAACGCUGGCGGCGUGCCUAACACAUGCAAGUCGAACGGAAAUACACUAGUAGCAAUACCGGUGUAUUUUAGUGGCGGACGGGUGAGUAAUACAUGAGCAACCUGCCCUUCAGUGGGGGACAACAGCUGGAAACGGCUGCUAAUACCGCAUGAAGUAUUUUGGAGGCAUCUUCGAAAUACCAAAGAUUUAUCGCUGAAGGAUGGGCUCAUGUCUGAUUAGUUAGUUGGUGAGGUAAUGGCUCACCAAGACUGCGAUCAGUAGCCGGACUGAGAGGUCGAACGGCCACAUUGGGACUGAGAUACGGCCCAGACUCCUACGGGAGGCAGCAGUGGGGAAUAUUGGGCAAUGGGGGAAACCCUGACCCAGCAACGCCGCGUGAAGGAAGAAGGCUUUCGGGUUGUAAACUUCUUUUACCAGGGACGAAGAAAGUGACGGUACCUGGAGAAUAAGCCACGGCUAACUACGUG